UACGGAGGGGGCUAGCGUUGUUCGGAAUUACUGGGCGUAAAGCGCACGUAGGCGGAUAUUUAAGUCAGGGGUGAAAUCCCAGAGCUCAACUCUGGAACUGCCUUUGAUACUGGGUAUCUCGAGUAUGGAAGAGGUGAGUGGAAUUCCGAGUGUAGAGGUGAAAUUCGUAGAUAUUCGGAGGAACACCAGUGGCGAAGGCGGCUCACUGGUCCAUUACUGACGCUGAGGUGCGAAAGCGUGGGGAGCAAACAGG
rnacentral:rRNA from 1 species